AGCGAACGCUGGCGGCAGGCCUAACACAUGCAAGUCGAACGGUGAAAGGGAGCUUGCUCCCUGGAUCAGUGGCGAACGGGUGAGUAACACGUGGGCAACCUGCCCCUCACUCUGGGAUAACUCCGGGAAACCGGGGCUAAUACCGGAUACGACCUGGUGCGACAUCGCACCGGGUGGAAAGAACUUCGGUGAGGGAUGGGCCCGCGGCCUAUCAGCUUGUUGGUGGGGUAACGGCCCACCAAGGCGACGACGGGUAGCCGGCCUGAGAGGGCGACCGGCCACACUGGGACUGAGACACGGCCCAGACUCCUACGGGAGGCAGCAGUGGGGAAUAUUGCGCAAUGGGCGAAAGCCUGACGCAGCGACGCAGCGUGAGGGACGAAGGCCUUCGGGUUGUAAACCUCUUUCAGCGGGGACGAAGCAAAAGUGACGGUACCCGCAGAAGAAGCACCGGCUAACUACGUGCCAGCCGCCGCAGUAAUAC
rnacentral:rRNA from 1 species